GAUUUAUAUUUAAAUGAAUUUAUAAAUACGAGUUUUUGGGCUUCGCUGGGUCUUUCGGUUUCACUGCCUCUCGCCGCAGGGAGUCGAUGGGGGCGGAAGGCACCGACGCACCGGCAGGAGGCGCGGUUCGAGAUCCGUGAUCCAGCGGUCGCGUCUGCGCACUCGGAUCGAGAGCGGGCGGCGGCGAUGGCGAACUCUGAGGCGGCGGAGGCGCUGACUGGGUUCGUGUCGGCGGCGAGGGCGGAGGAGUUGAAGAAAGAGCUGCGGCGGAAGGUGAGGGAGAUUUCGGAGUCGGAGGAUUGCGGCGUGGGGACUUAUGAGGAUGCGGCCAGGGCGCUCGCGGCACUCAGGGAACUAAGGUCCGGCGGGAGCGUGAGUCCGAAGGAGGCCCUAGCGAGCCAGAGGAAGGCGGAGGAAGAGUUCGAGUCGGCGGCCGUCCCCAAGCAUUUCUUGUGCCCGAUCUCCUCGGAGCUGAUGAGAGAUCCCGUCAUCCUGGCCUCCGGACAGACCUAUGACAGGCUUUUCAUCCAGGAAUGGUUCAGUUCUGGGAACAGGACAUGCCCACAAACUCAGCAAGUCCUCUCGGACAUCACCCUCACCCCUAAUCACCUUGUCCGCAGCAUGAUCUCCCAAUGGUGUAUGGAACAUGGCAUCACUCUCUCUCUACUAGAUCAUGAGCAAGAAGGAGGGUUGAUCACUAGGAAGGAGCGGAAUGCGCUGCGUGGGAUCCUCGAUAAGAUAUCGUUGUCCUCUAUUCCUGAACAAAAACAAGCAGUUAGGGAGCUCCGUCUGCUCACCAAGCGAAAUGGAUCGUUUCGAGCAUUGGUAGGGGAGAGCCCAAAUGCAAUACCACAGUUGUUGUCUGUUCUAUCUGUGCCGGGAUUGAAUUGCGACCUGGAGGUGCAGGAGGAUACUGUGACCACAAUACUUAACCUUUCAAUCCAUGAAAGCAAUAAGAAGAUCGUUGGUGACGACCCCCAAGCCAUUGUUUUGCUUAUUGAUGCAUUGAAGACUGGAAGUAUGGAGACCCGUAGUAAUUCAGCUGCGGCACUGUUUAGUUUAUCCGCCCUUGAGUCCAACAAGGCCAAGAUAGGGGAAAUGGGUGCGAUGAAACCGCUGGUUGAACUGCUAGAACAAGGCAGUCCCAGUGCCAAGAAGGAUGCUGGGUCUGCAAUCUUCAACCUCUGCAUGCUUCACGAGAACCGGGCCAGGGCACUGAUGGAAGGGGUGGUUCGUGUGCUCCUGAAGUCCAUAGCGGACCAGUCACUCGUCGACGAGUCACUGGCAAUCCUCGCAUUGUUAUCAAGAGACCAAGAGGCAGUCGAGGGGAUCACCGAGUCUGGCGGCGUGGCCUCCAUGCUGAGCAUAGUAAGGGACGGCGUUUGCCUCCGGAACAAACAGAACAACAAAGAGAACGCAGCGGUCGUUCUGUUUGCAAUUUGCAUGCAUGACCGGACGAAGCUUGGGGAGAUCGCAGAGGAGGAGAAGUCGACUGGGAGCAUCUCUCGUCUGGUUGAGAACGGCACCCCCAGGGCACGCAGGAAGGCUGCUGGAAUGCUGGAUAAAUGGAAGAGGACCAUGCGUAGCACGCAUUACUCAUGUUGAGAAAUCACCAGGAGCAAGAAAGAUGCACAUAUGUAAAUAAUACCCCUCUCCGGUCUUUUUGGUUGCUCUUCGGUACAAAAGAUGUGGGAAAAAAAGAAAGGAGAGCGGCGAUUGCGGUGGCGGUGGCGGCGGCGGUGAACUGCACUCACCGGCUACGCUUCAUUGGCAGCACCGCCGCGCACUGAUUGCGGACCUCCGAUUCACGCGUUUUGCACUUCCUUUCUGUUCUGUCAUAUCACGGUCCUACUCAACCAUUCAUUUCAUUCCAUGGCACCAUUCCUUGCCUGAUCAAUCAUGAUGCCAGCCAGCUUCGACAGCCCACUAACUUGGAUGACUUCGUGUAUUACUUUUUCAUGUUUCCUCCGGAGUAAAUUCUUGAUUGUCCCUUCUUUAGAAAGCCAUAGAAUCUGUCGUCCAAACUCGACCAUUUAAAGCUGCCAUGUACAUUGCUCAAACUCACCCUAGCCGAUAGCCAUAAUGCGGCCAAAAAGGGUAUGGCACAGAACAGGUGGUGGCUGUCUUGCAUGAUGCCCUUGGGUGCAGUAAGUCAGAGAGAUCUCUCUUUUCUUUUGUAGUUGCCGGUGAGUCACGCACCGCACGGCACGGGACGGGUGUAGUAGCACUUUUGGUGGUGAAAAGCUCUUUGUAAUUCUGAUAACACCUCUAAACCUACUCGUAGAAAUUAAGAAUUUCUGUUUGUUGUA